GCCAGGUGUGGUGGCGUGUACCUGUAAUCCCAGCUACUCAGGAGGCUGAGGCAGGAGAAUUGCUUGAAUCCAGGAGGCUGAGGUUGCAGUGAGCUGAGAUCGGACCACUGCACUCCAGCCUGGGCAACAGAGCAAGACUCUGCCUUAA
rnacentral:SRP_RNA from 2 species